AUUGAACGCUGGCGGCAGGCUUAACACAUGCAAGUCGAGCGGGGUGAUGGUGCUUGCACUAUCACUUAGCGGCGGACGGGUGAGUAAUGCUUAGGAAUCUGCCUAUUAGUGGGGGACAACAUCUCGAAAGGGAUGCUAAUACCGCAUACGUCCUACGGGAGAAAGCAGGGGAUCACUUGUGACCUUGCGCUAAUAGAUGAGCCUAAGUCGGGUUAGCUAGUUGGUGGGGUAAAGGCCUACCAAGGCGACGAUCUGUAGCGGGUCUGAGGGGAUGAUCCGCCAGACUGGGACCGAGACACGGCCCAGACUCCUACGGGAGGCAGCAGUGGGGAAUAUUGGACAAUGGGGGGAACCCUGAUCCAGCCAUGCCGCGUGUGUGAAGAAGGCCUUAUGGUUGUAAAGCACUUUAAGCGAGGAGGAGGCUCUUUUGGUUAAUACCCAAGAUGAGUGGACGUUACUCGCAGAAUAAGCACCGGCUAACUCUGUGCCAGCCGCCGCCGUAA
rnacentral:rRNA from 1 species